UCACCAGACUCCUACGGGAGGCAGCAGUGGGGAAUAUUGCACAAUGGGCGCAAGCCUGAUGCAGCCAUGCCGCGUGUAUGAAGAAGGCCUUCGGGUUGUAAAGUACUUUCAGCGGGGAGGAAGGGGUUAAGGUUAAUAACCUUAGCCAUUGACGUUACCCGCAGAAGAAGCACCGGCUAACUCCGUGCCAGCAGCCGCGGUAAUACGGAGGGUGCAAGCGUUAAUCGGAAUUACUGGGCGUAAAGCGCACGCAGGCGGUCUGUCAAGUCGGAUGUGAAAUCCCCGGGCUCAACCUGGGAACUGCAUUCGAAACUGGCAGGCUGGAGUCUUGUAGAGGGGGGUAGAAUUCCAGGUGUAGCGGUGAAAUGCGUAGAGAUCUGGAGGAAUACCGGUGGCGAAGGCGGCCCCCUGGACAAAGACUGACGCUCAGGUGCGAAAGCGUGGGGAGCAAACAGGAUUAGAUACCCUUGUACUG
rnacentral:rRNA from 1 species